GAGAUGAUGGGGGUGAGGACAUCAUUCAGUGCCAGUUUUCCUGGCAUCGCAAUGCAUUUCUCCAGAUCCCACUGGGACAAGAAAAAAGGAAACAGAUUCUUGGGCUUCGUCUCCGGCCCCGUGCCACCCGAAUAAGGGGCCUUCUGUGCCCAGGGCGACCCUGGGCGGAGCGGGCUCGUCUCCCCCACACACGCAGGUUUCAGACGUCUCCAGUCCAAGCAGCUAAAUCCGAGCGAAAACACAGCACCCGAAACAAAGGUCAAAAACCAAGAUCCCGCAGCUUGCCAGAAGGAAGGAGUGGAAAGAGGGCAUUGUCAGAAAAUACCAGGAGCUGCAAAAAAUAAAUAAAUAAAGGCAUUUUGCGGAGGCUGAAGAGAGGGAAUUAACAUUCUGCUUCUGAGCGCUGGUUCCAGUCUGGUGUUUCCAUCAGUAAGAGUCCAGUGCAGAUGGGAGGCAUUUGGCUCUGGCCGUGUCAACAUUCACCCACGGUGGGGGGCUACUGGCCCCAGCCCUCUCUCCAGCCCUCUCUCCUGCUCACGGAAGCACAACCUCAGCCACAGCCACGGGUCUGCUUCCGGCUGUGUCCACACCUCAGAGCCAGGCAGAGAGCAGAGACCACGGCACGGACUUCUGGGAAGAAGAAAAGUGGCUGGGCUUUUAUCAUUUGGUGAAGACAUCUGGGAGACUGAUUAUUUAUACGGAUUCUUAUCUUUGCUUGGUAGAAAGAGAGGGGCUGGUAUGCAGCUGCUUCAGUUGAUGGUUGUUCCUCAAGCUUGUUAGCUCAUUAGAUUUAUCUUUGCUUCUGUCAGAAGAGGCCUCAUGAUCCCUGAGGAGAGGAAGGCUCGAGUCUGAGGCUGGGGUUCAGUCACUGCCAGUGUCAUGUGCACGAGGAAGCAGCAGGCAGUGUGAGCAGCACCUGAGGCAUGGCCUCUCUGAGAGCAACGAAUUGGGUGCAGGGCGGGUGUCUCCUGCAGGCUCCCUAGAGAGGCCAGGCGGCGGGCUGAGAAGCGCUGCAUUCCUCCUGGACAUCUCCUACGCUGGUGGCAGGUGCUCUGAGCCCUCCUUCUGAUUCUUGUUUUGUAGCCACG
rnacentral:lncRNA from 1 species